rnacentral:rRNA from 1 species
AUUGAACGCUGGCGGCAGGCCUAACACAUGCAAGUCGAACGAGUGGCGGACGGGUGAGUAAUGUCUGGGAAACUGCCUGAUGGAGGGGGAUAACUACUGGAAACGUUAGCUAAUACCGCAUACCAUCGGAUGUGCCCAGAUGGGAUUAGCUAGUAGGUGGGGUAAAGGCUCACCUAGGCGACGAUCCCUAGCUGGUCGGAGAGGAGUACCGGCCACACGGGAACUGAGACACGGUCCAGACUCCUACGGGAGGCAGCAGGGGGGAAUAUUGGACAAUGGUCGCAAGCCUGAUGCAGCCAUGCCGCGUGUAUGAAGAAGGCCUUCGGGUUGUAAAGGACUUUCAGCGGGGAGGCGUUACCCGAAGAAGAAGCACCGGCUAACUCCGUGCCAGCAGCCGCGGUAAUAC